GUUGAGACACCGAUUUCUGCAAGAACACCGAAGUUAAGCAACGUUGAGCCUGGUCAGUAUCUAGGUGGGUGACCGCUUGGGAAUACCAGGUAUUGUAAG